CGCGUCAAAUCCCCUAAACACUUUUCAGAGCAUGCGGUCAGUAUACCAAGCAGCAAAUUCUUUCAGGGAGCGAGGAAGGCACGAGCAAGCGCACUGUUCGUAACCGACAGGUAAGGCAGCGAGAGACGCUAAAAGCAAACGGAACCGGCGAUGUCGCCGUAAAAUUUCCCGUUAAAGCUUCUCACCGAUGUUGGAUCUGGAGGACAAUCCCAAUUACUGUCCCCCAGAUUGUUGACCUUGCCGUUGGGUGCGGGAGUUGGCCGAGAUUGAGGACUUUGAGAUGAAAACUGGAGGUUUAUUUACAGUAUUUACAGUGAGAGUACAAAGAAAUUAACAGUCAUAAAGUCAUUACGGGCCGGCAGCAACUCGGGCGCUGCGGCCCGUGGCAAGAAGUUCGAGAAAGAUGAAUCAAGGAAUGCUCUAGGAAUCCUCUUCUGCUGCUCCCGGUCUGCGUCUUUUAAGCCCUUCGGUGUCUUGGCUUAAAACGACGUUCGGCCAAUGGGCGAGCCCGCUCAGAUGACGCCAUUUUCGGCCAAUGGUAGGCGCCCGUGCGAUGGUGUCAUACCCGGCGAAGAGAGUCGCCGCUUGGUCCCCCUGCGGUCUUGCCUUGCUGACUUACGCGCAUGUGUUCUUAUUGUGCCACAGCUAUAAGUUAACACAGAAUUCUCUUUGUAGUGGUGAAGCCGUGACCCACAACAGCGUCCACAUAACCCGUGGCCAUGGCUGCAGCAGCGCGGCGUGUAAUCUGGAUGGACAUGUCAGGGUACACGUGCACUUACUUCAAGAUGAUGACAGUCCACCUCAAGCACAGCCUCUCCUCAAUGAUAAGUAGCGAGAUUAAAUGAAAGGAAAAUAUCACAUCCGUAACCAGACUGAUACUGUGUUUUUCUUUCAUUUAACCUCCUUCUGCAUUUAAGGAAGCAUUGAUAUGCCCAAUAAAUGUUUUUGUUAAAUUUC